UACGUAGGGUGCAAGCGUUAAUCGGAUUUACUGGGCGUAAAGCGUGCGCAGGCGGUUAUGUAAGACAGAUGUGAAAUCCCCGGGCUCAACCUGGGAACUGCAUUUGUGACUGCAUAGCUAGAGUACGGUAGAGGGGGAUGGAAUUCCGCGUGUAGCAGUGAAAUGCGUAGAUAUGCGGAGGAACACCGAUGGCGAAGGCAAUCCCCUGGACCUGUACUGACGCUCAUGCACGAAAGCGUGGGGAGCAAACAGG
rnacentral:rRNA from 1 species